rnacentral:lncRNA from 1 species
CUGACCCAGGGCCUCAGUUUAUUGGUGUUGACGGUAACAAUGUACUAAGUAUGUCGUCAGCUUCUGAGCCCACUCGCUGCGGAGCCUGCCAUCGGCGAUAAUUUCAGCACAGUGAGUCAACCUCCAGAGACCGUGCCGGCCAGGUCCCCAUCUGUCGGCACCUGGGCACGUGUAUGAGCUCAGCCACCCCUCCCUGGGCUGCCUGCCUGGGAACAGCCACUGUGUCCUGACCCGGCCGGCAGCUGUGACCUUGUGGGUCCCAGAGAGCCCUGCGACCUCAGUGGCCUGGCCACUCAGGCUUAGGGCCACUGUCAGUCAUGGAGGGUCUCACCCAGGACCCUCACCCAGAGAGGGAAAUCUCUUUGCCCAGGAAGCAGCUGCUGGAAACGUCUGAGCCCCAGAGAGACUGAGCUGUGACCUGGACCCCUACUUUGUGAGGGCACCUAGUUUGUUUCAUAGGAGUGUGUGCUCCUGGGGGCUGAACACGGAGCCCCCGGGGUGGCCUGGGGCCCUCACUGAGCAUCCUCAUACUGGGCCUCGUCGGGGGCUCACUUCCUCCCUUGUGCCCACCUGCCUGACCCGACCACACUGAAAGGCGGUCUGCUGCUGUGACCACAGGGGUGGCCGGGGGUGGAAUGGCUGGGCCAAGGGCGGCCAGGCUCCCCCAAACCUGGACAUCCGCCUGCCAGGCAAUGGUUGCCUGAUAUCUUCAGAUGCGAAUGUGUGGUUUGGCUCCAGAGGCUGGAGAGUGGGGUGGGCGCCUGGCUCCUGCUGACCUCUGGGGUUGGUGGGCAAAUUAGUAAGAGGAUUCACACAGACAGUUGUCCCAGGACCCAGGGACCUGGAGGAAGAAGGCGCCUCUGAGCAGCAGGUGAGGAUGGCCAGGGCCCUGUGUGUGGCAGUGCCACACGUGUCGGCCACGUUCCUGCCUCUUCACCUGGCUGUGGCUACUGACUGGCUGCCCCAGGGCCAGAGGCUUAAAAGCAGACGACUCCUGGGCACCACAGGAUGGCUGUGGGGCCGUUUCCAGGAGCUGUGGCUGUCCAGUGGACAGGUCAUGUUCUGGCCGGGGUCCAUAGCCCAGAUAACCAGCCACGUCUCCCCAGAGGUGCAGAAUGUCCCGCCCUACAGUCCAUCCCGCAACAGCCUGGGACCUCAGUGACUGAGCCAGCCCCUGCUGAUACACCCUCACCGUCUGACCCGGCCUCUCCUGGGCCCUGCACCUGUGUGCAGAAGACCCAGAAGAUUCCGGGGCCCCAUGGCACACGCAGGCUGGGGAUGAGGCCACAGAGACCCCAGGAGGGAGCUGAGGGCUGGGAGGAGGCCUUACUCUGAGGUCCCCGCCUCCCACAGCUGGGUUCUGUGCUGAGGUCCCGGCCCCGAGAGGCGAGGCGGGUGCAGCGCCCGGCUCUGUGAGGAGGAGGGCACCAGGACCCCAUACCUGUGCCAACAGGGGCAGGUGUCCUGGAUUAUGGGGGAGA